UACGUAGGGUGCGAGCGUUGUCCGGAAUUAUUGGGCGUAAAGAGCUCGUAGGCGGUUUGUCGCGUCUGCUGUGAAAACUCGGGGCUUAACCCCGGGCCUGCAGUGGGUACGGGCAGACUAGAGUGCGGUAGGGGAGACUGGAAUUCCUGGUGUAGCGGUGAAAUGCGCAGAUAUCAGGAGGAACACCGGUGGCGAAGGCGGGUCUCUGGGACGGUACUGACGCUGAGACGCGAAAGCGUGGGGAGCGAACAGG
rnacentral:rRNA from 1 species